rnacentral:lncRNA from 1 species
CUCUUCUAUUAAAUUCUUCUUCUUCCCCCUUUUAAUUCCUCAUUCUUCUCUUUAAUUCUCUCUCCAUAUAGAUCUGUUCUAUUUCCCAAUGAAUUGUCCCAUUGGUGCUGCAUCAAAUUUGGUAUCAGAGCCGAAUCUUGGGUACUUUCUUUUACAAUCCAAAAUCUCUUCUUUUCUCCCAAAUUUUGUUAGGACAGCACAAAUUAAAAGGAUUUUGAUAAAGGCAGCAAUUUUAUUCCUCAAUUUUCAGAGUUAGUUAAAAAAAAAUCGUGUUACUAUUCACGGGUACUGCUCACACCCGGAUUCCAAAUUUUUUAUUUUCAUUCUGUAGUUAAAAUAAAAAAAAAUAAAAAAUAAAAAUUCUGCUGUUCAAUUUGAUUGAUUUGCUGCUUCCUUUUGCAUUAAAGUUGCUGUUUCAAACCCUAGCUUAUAUAUAUAAUUUUUUCAAUUCCAUAUACUCUAGCCCAACAUAUAUUCCAGCGCAGCAUAAUUUUCAGUCUAAACUCAGCCCAUAUUGAACACAGCCCAAACCCACGUAACCCACUAAUUCAUAAUCCAUAGACUCGGUCAAGCCCAUAUCCCUAACCCAAUUACAGCAGCCCAUUGAUUCAUUAUUCCAACUCUAUUUAUACUCCAAGCCCAUAAGACCCAAUUACCAUACAAACCAAUUAUCCAGCCCACACCCACAUUAGCCCAUUACACCAAUCGUCGGCCCAACUCUCAAUACCCGGCCCAACCCAACUCCUAUCUCACUACCCAAAUCAAUUUCCCCAACCCGAGCCCUAACUCAUCCCGUCACUCCCCACGACCAGCAGCUCAACCCGUCAAUACCCAUGAUGUCCAGUCGCCCGUUUCCUCCUACCAGUCACCGUCGUCGACUUGCACCCCAGUCGGACUUCACCACUUAGUCGGCCGACCAUCAAUCGGCCGGCCAUUGCUCAUUAUUUCCAUAAGCCAGUGUCUACAGUUUCAGUCAUCGACAUUCCAACAACGCCGAAGCAUCACUCAUCUUUCAUUCACAUAUCGCCGCCCUCCUCACAACUCACAGCAAUAUUACAGAGUCCACCGUGAAGAGACCCAUUCAUUACCCAGGCACAUUCACGCAUCAAUUCCUCAGAAGUCAGGCCGUCACAGUAUCUACGCCGAUUGACCGCAACUGCCCUUUCGCCGACAGCAGCAUCAUCGCGGGUGACCCACCACUGGCCCAAUUGUUCAACAACUUUCCUCGAGGAUUACAGCCAGCCACCGACUUCAUUGAUCAAGCAAUUUACUGUCUCUACUACCAAGCAACCCAUUCAGUUACACAGAGGUUUCUAUCUCAGCAUCUGUCCAAUUUCAGUGAAGCCAACAAUUUAGAAUAUGCAAUGACCGUGAGUUCAGGAACUGGAGACAUUUGACACAGGCAGAUCAGAGGCCCAAUCGUUAGCAAUUCAGGCAACUAGACUACAGGGAGUUGCUAUCUCCUAAUUCUCAUUGGUUUAUACUGCUGAUUUAUUUUAAAAGUGCAUCACUUAGAUUCUUUGUGUUGCUGUUACUAUCACAACUUUGGCCUCAAACUUCACUUGACUGGAAUCACUCAUUGAAUUGACUUGCCAUUGUUGCCCCAUUUAUCUCACUGGAUUGAUGUGUCAUUGUUACCUCUUUUAUCUACCUGAUUGGAAAUCUUGACAAUACCAUUUGAUCUUAACAAGCAUUGGACCCUUGCUUUAUUAUUUACAAGCAUCAGCACUAUUAACUUGCAUUUUUGGAAGGGAAGAAAAGAGAGAGAGAGAGAGAAUUUCAAAUUGAUGUUUUAAUCGUUGGUCCUUGAUGCAUAUUGGUCUCUCUAUUGCAUUUCAUUUAGGUAGUAUUGCUUUGCAUGUAGUUACAUAUUGGUCAUCUUGUCACUUCUAGCUCUAGUACCUUAAACAUGAACCCCUCACAAUUCGAUGCACUCACCCGACAAAUAGCGGCUAUUCAAACUCAAAUGACCGCUACUCUUGAAGAGAGUAAGGCCCUAUCUGUUAGUUUGAAAAAUUUUAAACACAUCCCUCAUUCGAUUGAUGUUAAUAAUUUUAAGGUGUCCCAUAAUAGACAACAUUGUCGACAAGGUAAUCAAAAAUACUUUCGACCCGAUCGUAAGGAUAGGGAUAGGAAUAGGGAUCAGAUUCGUGAGCGAGAACGAGAUAAUUUUGAAAUUCUUACUCAAUGGAAUGCCCUUAAACAAGGAAAUCAAUUAGUGACUGAGUAUAUCGCGCGAUAUGAGGAAUUUCGAAUCAAAUGUCAUUUAAUUGAGGAUGAGAGCACGACUUUGAGUAGGUUUAGCCAAGGUCUGAGAGAUGAUCUUAAGCGCGAGCUUUUCCAUCGAGGUGUCACUACUCUUGAUCACGCUUACUCUUUAGCUCGAGAUUAUGAGUUGAUUAUUAGUACUCCAUAUGAAAAGCGUGGUCAUCGUCGCUCACCCAUCUCAUUAGCGUCGCCUCAUCAUUAGUCUAUCAUAAAACCAUCUCCGUCUAAUGUUCCUCCUAUUUGGAAAAAUAAUUGUAAAGGUCGUGAUAGUCCACAUUCUCCUUUUCCAUGUAGAAAGCAUAUUGACAAUCAUCCUUCGGUGUCAUUGGCUCCAAUUCCUCCCGUUAAGUCCCUUCUAGGACCACCCCCAUCUGAUGUUCCUCCAAUUUUGAAAAAUAAGGGUAAAAUUUUUGAUAAUCAUCAUUUGGCUUCAUUGGCUCCACCUCUUCCCGUUAAGUCCCUUCUAGGACCUCCCCCUUCUAAUGGUUCUCCAAUCUUGGAAAAUCAUGGUAGAAUUUCUGAAACUCCAAGGUCUUCUUCUCACUUGUUGUGCGUCAACUGUAAAGACUUUGGCCACAUUUCUUCCAAAUGUACUAAUCGAACCUUAGUCAUGGAAGAACGAAAGAAUGUAAUAAAUAUGCCAUUAGAAGAUCUAGUCUAUGAACCUAAACUUGAAGAUUUUGAUGACUUGGAUGAUAGUGAGGACACUUCUUUAGGUGGACUCCAGACUCUUCCCAAGACUUUAGAUACUAUACCCCUUGUUUCUGACAACUCUCGGUCACAUGUUAUAUGUCAUACCCUUGCACAACUCAAAGAGCUUGAUGAUUUCACUGGCCACCCUUGGAGAAUUCAGUCGCCUGUGGUUAGCAUUAAGUCAACAUUCCCCAUUACUGACCAACUUCAAACUGAUGGUCAAAAUAAAGUCGUUAACCAAAGUCCUGGCAAUUUAUACAAGUCUCUAGUCCAGAAAAAUCUUAGAAAUUGGGACUUGAUUCCCC